GAUGAACGCUGGCGGCGUGCCUAAUACAUGCAAGUCGAGCGAACAGACGAGGAGCUUGCUCCUCUGACGUUAGCGGCGGACGGGUGAGUAACACGUGGAUAACCUACCUAUAAGACUGGGAUAACUUCGGGAAACCGGAUCUAAUACCGGAUAAUAUAUUGAACCGCAUGGUUCAAUAGUGAAAGACGGUUUUGCUGUCACUUAUAUAUGGAUCCGCGCCGCAUUAGCUAGUUGGUAAGGUAACGGCUUACCAAGGCAACGAUGCGUAGCCGACCUGAGAGGGUGAUCGGCCACACUGGAACUGAGACACGGUCCAGACUCCUACGGGAGGCAGCAGUAGGGAAUCUUCCGCAAUGGGCGAAAGCCUGACGGAGCAACGCCGCGUGAGUGAUGAAGGUCUUCGGAUCGUAAAACUCUGUUAUUAGGGAAGAACAAAUGUGUAAGUAACUAUGCACGUCUUGACGGUACCUAAUCAGAAAGCAACGGCUAACUACGUG
rnacentral:rRNA from 1 species